rnacentral:rRNA from 2 species
ACGGGAGGCAGCAGUGAGGGAUAUUGCACAAUGGGCGAAAGCCUGAUGCAGCAACGCCGCGUGAGGGAUGACGGUUUUCGGAUUGUAAACCUCUGUCUUCGGUGAAGAUAAUGACAUUAGCCGAGGAGGAAGCCACGGCUAACUACGUGCCAGCAGCCGCGGUAAUACGUAGGUGGCAAGCGUUGUCCGGAUUUACUGGGUGUAAAGGGAGCGCAGGCGGGAGAUCAAGUCAGUGGUGAAAUGCAUGGGCUUAACCCAUGAACUGCCAUUGAAACUGACCUUCUUGAGUGAAGUAGAGGCAAGCGGAAUUCCGAGUGUAGCGGUGAAAUGCGUAGAUAUUCGGAGGAACACCAGUGGCGAAGGCGGCUUGCUGGGCUUUUACUGACGCUGAGGCUCGAAAGUGUGGGGAGCAAACAGGAUUAGAUACCCUGGUA